CUCCACUCCUCUACCUCCUCAAACCCUAAUUCGUCAUUCUCUCCCUCUCUCUCUCUCUCUCUCUCAUCGCCAUUUUUGAGCUGAAAGAGUCCAAAAUUCAAACGCACAGAGAACGCAGUAAUGGCGAUUGAACUGGAACCUUCCUGAAUCUUCUCCCCAUCUUCACCGCGCUCCAUGGAAGGGUACGGCCUUCGUCGAUCCUUUUCUCCUCAUUACCAUGCCUGAACUCUGCAGCCGCGGAGCCCGGGCAACCGACAACCCGAACCCGACUAGCCCAUUGCAGAAGCGACCCGCCGCCCCGAGGCGCCGGAGGAACACGACUGCUGCCAGGAGCAGAGAGAGACCCAAGAGAGAGGACGCGAUCGGAGGUGUUGAUGAGAAGCGCGAGGCCCUAAAGGCGGCCUCGGUUGAGCUUGAGGAAGGACGGAGGAGUGAGGGCCCGAUGGAUGAGCACGACAGUGGUGGACGGAGCUGCGAUAAGGCCGCCGGAGCCGAGGAGGAGGGCAGCACUGCUCCUCUCCCCGAGAGGGUCCAAGUUGGUGGUUCACCAGUCUACAGAAUUGAAAGAAAACUGGGGAAAGGAGGAUUUGGGCAAGUGUAUGUUGGUCGUCGAGUUGGUGCCACAAGCUUGACCGAGCGAACCGGUCCGGGAGCUGUUGAGGUUGCCCUGAAAUUCGAACAUAGGAGCAGCAAAGGCUGUAAUUAUGGACCGCCUUACGAGUGGCAAGUUUACAGUGCUCUUGGUGGAAGUCAUGGAGUGCCACGAGUUCAUUACAAGGGCAGACAGAGUGACUACUACGUCAUGGUCAUGGACAUGCUCGGGCCUAGCUUAUGGGAUGUGUGGAAUAACAACUCUCACAUGAUGUCUAUAGAAAUGGUUGCAUGCAUUGCUGUUGAAGCGAUCUCUAUACUUGAGAAGAUGCAUUCUAGAGGAUAUGUGCAUGGAGAUGUGAAACCUGAGAAUUUUCUGCUUGGCCCUUCAGGAACCCCUGAUGAGAAGAAGCUGUUUCUGGUCGACCUGGGUUUAGCUACUCGGUGGAGAGACAGUUCAACUGGUCUACAUGUUGAAUAUGAUCAACGUCCUGAUGUUUUUAGAGGGACAGUUCGGUAUGCUAGCGUCCAUGCCCAUCUGGGUAGAACUGGUAGCCGGAGGGACGAUUUGGAAUCUCUUGCUUACACGCUUAUUUUUCUUCUUCGUGGCCGCUUGCCUUGGCAAGGAUAUCAGGGAGAGAAUAAGGGUUUCCUUGUAUGCAAGAAGAAGAUGGCCACAUCUCCAGAAACUCUCUGUUGCUUCUGUCCCCAGCCAUUCCGACAGUUUGUUGAGUAUGUAGUGAAUUUGAAGUUUGAUGAGGAGCCGGACUAUGCCAGAUACAUUUCUCUCUUUGAUGGGAUCAUAGGUCCCAACCCAGAUAUUAGACCAAUAAACACAGAUGGCGCUCAGAAGCUUAUCUAUCAAGUUGGACAUAAGAGAGGACGAUUAAUGAUCGAGGAGGAAGAGGAUGAACAGCCAAAGAAGAAGAUUCGGAUGGGGAUGCCUGCAACUCAAUGGAUUAGUGUUUACAAUGCUCGACGGCCCAUGAAGCAAAGAUAUCACUACAAUGUGGCAGAUAUUAGGUUGGCCCAGCACAUUGAGAAAGGAAAUGAGGACGGCUUAUAUAUUAGCAGUGUGGCUUCUUGCUCAAACCUAUGGGCCUUGAUUAUGGAUGCUGGCACUGGAUUCACUGCUCAAGUUUAUGAACUCUCACCGUACUUUCUUCACAAGGAAUGGAUUAUGGAGCAAUGGGAGAAGAGUUACUACAUCAGUGCAGUUGCAGGAGCUAAUAAUGGAAGUUCACUAGUUGUGAUGUCUAAAGGAACUCAGUACUUGCAGCAGUCAUACAAAGUCAGUGAUGCUUUUCCCUUUAAGUGGAUUAACAAAAAGUGGAGGGAAGGAUUUUAUGUCACUUCCAUGGCCACUGCUGGAACUAGAUGGGCAGUUGUUAUGUCUCGUGGUGCAGGUUUCUCUGAUCAGGUGGUGGAGCUGGAUUUUCUAUAUCCCAGUGAAGGCAUUCAUCGGAGGUGGGACAAUGGAUACCGCAUAACUUCAACUGCUGCUACCUUCGACCAGGCUGCUUUUGUUCUCAGUGUCCCACGGAGAAAACCGACAGAUGAAACUCAAGAGACGCUGAGGACUUCUGCUUUUCCCAGUACACAUGUUAAGGAGAAAUGGGCUAAGAAUCUUUACAUCGCUUCCAUAUGCUACGGUCGGACUGUUUCUUGAGCUGCCAAAUUCAGUUGAGGACAAUCACUUGGGGCAGUCAAUCAUCAAGUGGGCACUUCUAUCUUUUGUUCCCUUUAGGGACGGAAGGCCUUUCAUGGAACUGACCUUGAGGCAACAUAUCUUGAAAAUCCCUGAUCCCUAAUUGCUACCAUCACAUUCUAGAAAACCUCAGCACUAAAUGUCAACAGGCCAGUGUUCGAAGUCUCUCAUGUGCUUUUUUUGGAAUAUUGCUGCGACUGUUGAUUUGUCUGUAACAGUUUUGAAAAACAUCACUUUCUUGGAGUCACGUGCCUAGGCGGGGUUUCUCUCAUAGAUGAUCAUCAAAAACAGCAGUUAUCACUGUCCUGGGCAGACAGGAUGUUGUAUGUUCAGUCUGUAGUCUGUAGUUCUCUCUUAGACCGGAAUAUAUCUAGGUUAAUUUUUUCCCUUCCAUCUGAUGGAAUAUUCAGUGACCUGAAUGAGCUUGUUUUGUAUAGUUCAAGCAGAGCCUGUAAUGACUUCCUAUUUCUGAUUAUCUUUUGACUCUAAUAGUAUUUCCCAACUUCACCUUGCAACAGUAGAUAGUUUGAGUACAACAGAGGAUAAGUUAAUUUCUUUCAUCACUGAUACUGUAGGGCUUUGCAUGGUUACAUCGAUUUUAUUCCUGGGUCGUUCAUUCUGCGAUUUUUAGCUGUUAAUUGCAUUUGGAGAGCUGUUUGAAUUAGAGGUCAUUUGAAAGUACCAGUUAGUAGUUUCUUUUACUGUGGAAUAGUAAACAGCAUUUAUUAUUACAAUCAGAUGGCAUGAGUAAGUCCCUAUUUUCUUCUCACUUUACUGAUUAGACACUAAAUGCUAUCAUAGAUAUAUAUGUUUCUAGCUAUAGUGAUGAGGAGGAUUUCCAGCCCAAAUCCAUAUCAACGAGCCCAAGCCCAAAGAAGCAUAUCUUGGAUAUAUCAAGGAAAUAUUCUUGUUAUGUGGAAAGGGAAGAUGAGAUGUCUUGAUUCAUACAUUAGAAAUAUUACUUUAUAUUCUCGUGAUGUGUAAAGAAAAUAUUCUCGUCACGUAGAUAUGGUAUUACUUUAUAGCAUGUUUGUGGCAGCAGUUUAGUACAGCCCUUUUUCUUGUAAUGAAUGGAGUCUCGAGAUAUCAAGUGAGAUAUUAAUUGGCAUAGAAUUGUUGAAUUUUGCGAUGCACUGUCAACUGUCCAGAGGUAGUUUCUGCUCCUUAGUGAUGAGGAGUCUCAUGCAUAGCUUUCAUUGUUUGCUGGCCUUUUGUUUGUCUUCACACUGGUAGUUUUUCCAUGUCCCUUAUGUUCUUGGAUGGCUAUCUUAGUUGUACACCUGGGUUGCGUUGGAUUUGACUGUUCAGUUUGUUGCAUGUUCCAUCUGAUAUGUCGUCUUUCCGCAUCUUUGCUUCCAGAAAUAGGAACCUAGCCUCGCAAUGAAGGAUCACACUUGUGUGCACUGCGAGGGUAUCCAUUUGCUUCAUCAGAAUCAUAUUGUGCUUCUCAGAUAUUUGGGAGAUCUCAUAAGAUGGAGGUAACACGAUCGUAAUCUGGCACAUCGAGGAGCAACUAUCUUUCAUAAAAGAGAAUACUUACUGGGAACAGUAGUGGAGUGACAGGAACCACUUCACUGCCAGGAAUUUAUUUUCAUUGGGGAUCAUUCAAUGAGCUGAUGCGUUGGUACGUAUCUGCAAUCUCGUGUCUCACGUGGGAAUUGAUCUUUGCUGUGUAUUAGUAUUUCAUUUUGCCUGUGUAUUAGUAUUUCAUUUUGCCUGUGCUAACGUGACUUCUUGAGGAUGAUUGAUUCUCAAAUAUAUCGAUAUAGUUACUUGACCAACCCUAGUCAUUGAUCCCAGACCUGAGGCCUGCACCUUUAUGGACAAAUUCAAGGCUGAGCUUUAUCAGGUCAAGCAUGAUAGCCCACAUGGCCACCCUAAUGGUUCUCAGAGUUUGGGGCAGGGGUUAUCUGUUGGAAUGCUCCUUGAUAAGUAUUGUAUCUGUCUCAAGUCUGGAAAAAUCACAGUGGCCUAAGCUUGAGGGACCCUUGCUGACCAAAUAUUUUCGGUGUAAGCUUUUAUAUUUUCCGGUUCUGGCACAUUGAAGCAUUAUUAUGAAAUGCACGACUGACUGCAGUUCACCCUAAGUCUUUAGGCACAUGAAGCAUGCGCCCGUGUUCAAUUCGGGAUUGAUGUUUUUAUUUUUUAAGGAACAAACUGGGUCGUUUUUGUAAACCCCAGUGGCCAAUUUCCAGAUAAUUUAAAGGAGCAAUUUGGAAAUACCCUCAAACUGAAGAGGACAAUAUUUCAA